GACGAACGCUGGCGGCGUGCCUAAUACAUGCAAGUCGAACGCAUUUUCUUUCACCGUAGCUUGCUACACCGACAGAAAAUGAGUGGCGAACGGGUGAGUAACACGUGGGUAACCUGCCCAUCAGCGGGGGAUAACACUUGGAAACAGGUGCUAAUACCGCAUAAUUCCAUUUACUGCAUGGUAGAUGGAUGAAAGGCGCUUUUGCGUCACUGAUGGAUGGACCCGCGGUGCAUUAGCUAGUUGGUGGGGUAACGGCCUACCAAGGCUGCGAUGCAUAGCCGACCUGAGAGGGUGAUCGGCCACACUGGGACUGAGACACGGCCCAGACUCCUACGGGAGGCAGCAGUAGGGAAUCUUCGGCAAUGGACGCAAGUCUGACCGAGCAACGCCGCGGGAGUGAAGAAGGUUGUCGGAUCGUAAAACUCUGUUGUUAGAAAAGAACAAGGAUGAGAGUGGAAAGUUCAUCCCUUGACGGUAGCUAACCAGAAAGCCACGGCUAACUACGUG
rnacentral:rRNA from 1 species